GGCUGCCUGGAGUUACCAGGGGGUAAGCAGCCAUUGGGAGAGCCUGGAACAGAGUUCCUGUUUGCUUGUUUGAUCAUUUCCUUUGUUGUACAGCUCUGCAUGGUCUGCAAAGCCUCUGAAGGAUAAGAGGCAAUCAAUAGGCUCUCCCGAAGGCAUAAUAUAUAUUUUUCCUAUUAUGGAGCUUGGGAGGGGGGAAAACCAAGACCUUUGCAGAUGUUGAGAGAGAGACACCCUGAUAAAACGCUCACCUGAGAGGGCUUGGACAUGAGCCCUUUGGACUUCCCCAGGGCACUUGAAUUUGAUUCAGAUAACAGAACUAAGAGGAUCUAAGUGGUCAGAAGACUGAACGAGUAAUGAAAAGUAAAACCAGUGCAAUUCUUCAGUCCUAGAGGAUCAUCUGAGUACUCAGUCUAGCUACUUCUUCUACCCUGCAUGUUUAGUAGCACCUCUAAGAUGAAAAAGCCUGUUUCAAAAUAAACUACCACCCCAACAUUUGAAGUUCCAUUACCAUCAACACUAUACUACAAAAUUUGUCUAU